rnacentral:ncRNA from 1 species
UAUCUUUGCAAAAAUUUUGGUUUCCAGCCUAUUGGAAAUAAUAGGGAAUUGGGUGAGAAUCCCAAACUGUCCCCGCAACUGUAAAUCGCAAUGAGAGUUUCUGCAAAAAAACCACUGUUUAUAAUGGGAAGGUGCAGAGCGCGAAAGUCAGGAGACCUGCCAGAAUACUAACUAAAAA